UACAGCGGGUGCGCGCGUUGUCCGGAAUCACUGGGCGUAAAGGGCGCGUAGGUGGCGGGGUACGCGUGUGGUGAAAGUCCGGGGCUCAACCCCGGAUCGGCCAUGCGAACUGCCCAGCUGGAGCACGGUAGAGGCACAUGGAAGUCCGGGUGUAGCGGUGGAAUGCGUAGAGAUCCGGAAGAACACCGGUGGCGAAGGCGGUGUGCUGGGCCGUUGCUGACACUGAGGCGCGACAGCGUGGGGAGCAAACAGG
rnacentral:rRNA from 1 species